CCCUUAGAUGUCCUGGGCCGCACGCGCGUUACACUGAUGCAUUCAACGAGCUUAUAACCUUGGCCGAGAGGCCUGGGCAAUCUUGUUAACGUGCAUCGUGAUGGGGAUAGAUUAUUGAAAUUAUUAAUCUUGAACGAGGAAUUCCUAGUAAACGCAGAUCAUCAAUCUGCAUUGAUUACGUCCCUGCCCUUUGUACACACCGCCCGUCGCACCUACUGAUUGGAUGGUCCGGUGAAGCCUCGGGAUUGUGGUUCUUGCCGCUUUAUUGUGGCGUGACCGCGAGAACUUGUCUAAACCUUAUCAUCUAGAGGAAGGUGAAGUCGUAACA
rnacentral:rRNA from 1 species